rnacentral:rRNA from 1 species
CCCUUAGAUGUUCUGGGCCGCACGCGCGCUACACUGACGAAUGCAACGAGCUUAUAACCUUGGCCGAAAGGUCUGGGUAAUCUCCAAAUUUCGUCGUGAUGGGGAUAGAUUAUUGCAAUUAUUAAUCUUCAACGAGGAAUGCCUAGUAAGCGCAAGUCAUCAGCCUGCGUUGAUUACGUCCCUGCCCUUUGUACACACCGCCCGUCGCUCCUACCGAUUGAAUGGUCCGGUGAAGCGUUCGGACCGUGGCCUUUGGACGGUUCGCCGUCUGUUGGCUGCGGGAAGUUCGUUAAACCUUAUCAUUUAGAGGAAGGAGAAGUCGUAACA